rnacentral:rRNA from 1 species
GCUUGUCUCAAAGAUUAAGCCAUGCAUGUCUUAGUGUAAAUAACUCUUAUGAAACUGCGAAUGGCUCAUUAAAUCAGUUAUAGUUUAUUUGAUGGUACCUACUACUCGGAUAACCGUAGUAAUUCUAGAGCUAAUACGUGCGCACAACCCGACUUCUGGAAGGGUCGUAUUUAUUAGAUUUAAGGCCAACCGAGCUUGCUCGUCUCUUGGUGAAUCAUGAUAACUUCACGAAUCGCAUGGCCUCGCGCCGGCGAUAUUUCAUUCAAAUUUCUGCCCUAUCAAUUGGCGAUGGUAGGAUAGAGGCCUACCAUGGUGUUAACGGGUGACGGGGGAUUAGGGUUCGAUUCCGGAGAGGCAGCCUGAGAAACGGCUACCACAUCCAAGGAAGGCAGCAGG